CGGAGUGGCCAGGGUUUGGUGCAGAGAGGAGGAGGAGGAUGGAAGGAGGUUGUGGGGUCUGGCUCAGGUGAUGCUGCUACUGGUAGCCAUAGGAGCAGGAUGGGGUGGGAAGCUGCUUGCCCACCCCGGGGGGAGAUUUAGGGAUGGAGCAGGCCCUAAAUGAUAUCUCGAACCUGAAAUCCCGGGAAGGGCUGCUGGCAUGUGGUGAGGAUGGUGAUGGAUCGAGGGGGAUGGUCUCGCCUGCUCUGGGCGGCUGCGGGGCUGAUCAGCUGGUGCCAGGGUGGGGUGGGGGCCAGGGUGACCCCCUGCUGAUUGGGGUGGGUUUGGGUGAUGGCGAAGAGCUCGGCUGUGUUGGAUGUUUGGAUGAGGGCGUCGGUGCUGGAGGGGUCCGGCAGUGGGUUGUGGUUGUGCGAGGGGCACCACCAGGGGUGGUGGCAAGGAGACCCUUGGGGAAGGGUUUUGCUGCUGUUGUGUGUUUGGGGCUGCUGCCAGUGCUGGGAUUGGAGGGUGAUGGAAGUGUUAAAUCCAGAGCUGUUGGCAACAGGCUGUGCGUGGGCCUGGGGGAAAGUGGGGCAAGGAGAAAGAGUUUCCUUUUCUUCCCCCCUUUUUCACUUCCAUCUUCCCUCCCAAAAUAAUCUUGGCAAACCAGGGAAAAAAGCAAAUUUACAAAAAAACCCCACCUUUUCCUUGAAAAUUUCACCUCCUGCACUUUUUUCUUCCCUUAUGUUGCUCAUUUGGGAGAUUCCCCCUAACACUUUGGAUGGGAAUUGUGAAGUUUGUCACCAGCUCUGGGGAAAAGGCUGCAAACUGCUUCUGCCAGCCUAGAGCUCUGCCAGGGGUGAGGGGCCCUCAACGUUUCAGGGGUCCCCUCCGCACGGGUCCCUCUGUGUUGCUGGGGUGAGCAUCCAUUGGAUGAGGAAGGAUAUUCCCAGCCAUGCCUUGGUCGUGCCAUCCCUGGUGCCACAUCCUCCUUUGCCCUCCCAUCCUUCUGGCUGAGGGCACAAUUUGGGAAUAUUUUGGGGAUUUUUACCACUUAAAGUGGCAAAAAUUCAUCUCUAUCCACCUCUCCCAGGGCUGUGGGCAAGUCCAUAACUAUGGGCUUCAGCUGAACGUUUGCUCGUUUCCCUUUCCCAUGUUUAUCCUUUGCCUUCCCCUCUCACUUCACUUUUCUUUCUUCUCUUUUUUCUUUCUUUUCUCUUUUUUCUCCUUUUCUAUCUUUUUUUGUUUUGUUUUGUUUUGGUUUUUUGUUUCUUUUCCACAAAAAAUCCCAACCAGACCCGUAAACCAAGUAUUAUGUUUUCACUACCUCCAUCCAUCACCCUUCCCUUUCCGAUGCCAGAAGCCAUGCUCGGGAUGUAAGAGGGCCUUUCCCCCUUUAUUUUCCCCUUUCCUCCAGAGAUUUUAUCUCCUCUGUGUCCCUCUGCCCCUCCUCUCUCUGGUCUCUCACCUGUAGUGUUUUACCUGGCUACUGUAACUGUAAAUAGCGAGUUUCAAUCUGUUAGCGAUGGUAACAGUACAGAAAACUGGUUUUGGGGGGUUUUUUUUGUUGUAUUGAUAUGAAAUGAGAUUAUAUUUUUGUCAGAGUAUAUUGUAAUAAUACUGACUUUGGACAUGGCCGAGUUGUACAGCGAUUUCUUGUUUAAACCUCUUGGCUCCUCCCUUGCUCUUCCCCUCCCCGUCCCUCCCUGCUCCCCAGGUUUCCAUGUCCCAGACCCAGACCUGGCCGGGCUCCCAGCUGGGAGCAGCCACUUGGCAAUGGCUUCACACCAGGGAUGCUUUUCCACAGGGUUCCCAACACGCUGGCGUGUCCCCCCGUGGGUCUGGAGAGGUCAGAAACACGCAGGAGGAUAUUUAAGUGAGCCUUGGAUAUACGGAGGUUCCUGGUGUGCAGGGAUGCUCCCGCUCUCUGCUACACUCCCGGCAGGAAUCAGGGACCUCGGAGGAAUGGAUGAGGUCAUUCCAGCUCCCCUCUCCUCCCUAGCGAGUGGAAAACCACGUUGUUUUCCAGUUUCUUCCUCCCGAGCUCCGUUCUCUGGAGCGAUGCCUGUUUGGAAUGUGCUUUCCUUAAGCCAGAAGAGGGUGGUGUGGCUCAGACUGCACCGGGAUCGUCUCCGAGCAGUCUGAAGUUGUUUUCCGGGAACUGGAAGUUUUACAACAUCCCCAGCCCAGUGCUGCGGGGAGAGGCGUUGGUGAGCCGGGGUGAGCUGUUCCCCCCCUGCAUCCCACCCACAAAUGAGGGAUUUCUUCCCUUCGGCUGGGUUUGCAGAGCGGGAUUUUCCUGCUGGUGCCACUGAGAUGUAGAGACCUGCCCAGUUCCUCGCUCUCUGGGCACAAACCCACUGCAGAGCCUUAUGGAACAUCCUUUCCACAGGGAAACGCUGUCGUGGGACAAUGCUGAGGUGUCCCCGUGGGCUCCCAGCAUCUCCUGCAAGGCCGAGGGGUGAAGCAGCCCAGCUCGGGCCACGACACCCCUCCUCCCCACGGCUCUUUCUGAGCAGUGUGCAGGCAAAUAGGACUCUGAAGAGGUGGGGACCAUCACGGCUGUGCUGCUGCUCCCCUUUUGUGUCCCACAUGGCCUCUGGGUUGGGUCUCCCCCAUCCCCUUCACGCCUCUGGUUCCCUGUAGCUCAGUAAAGCAGCUUCUCUGUGUGAUGGUUCAUUGGAUCUCCCCGCUCAGCCCGUCUGUAACAGCACAGGCAGCUCUGCAUCCUCUCCCCAGGGUGCUGCACAGGUAGAAACAAAACAGGACGUGCACUUCCCCUGAGGAGUUUUAUUUAUUGUUUUGAGAAGCAAUUUAAAAGGAAAAAAAAAAUAAACUGUGUAUCUAUAAUAUAUAUAUAUAUAUUUUUAACCUCUUUUCUUUUCCUGAUGCUCCUCCACCCGUGUGUGUGUGCGUGUGUGUGCGCGAGUCAAGGGAUUCUGAGUGGGGACCAGGGUGUCCCCUUCCCCGUGUCCAGCUCUCCAGGGGACCACAGUGUCCCCUUCCCCGUGUCCAGCUCUCCAGGGGACCACAGUGUCCCCUUCCCCGUGUCCAGCUCUCCAGGGGCGAUGCAGCAGAAGCCCAGAAGCAGCAGUGGGAGGGGAGGGAGGAUUUAUGCUGAGAGCUUGUAACGUUUUAACCGUGAUUUUUGAAUAAUUCCAUCUUUCUCUGGAGUAUUUGCACCCUUGGGGUCUGGCCUGACCCAGAUCCUCCCCCACCCUGGGGAUGCCAUCGCCCCCCAUCCCCAUCCCCUCCUGUCCCUGCUCCCUUGACAAUCAGUGGCUCCUUCCCAGGGACUGCAGCACGUGGUUGAGACGUCUGUUUCGUUUUUUCAAUAUUCCUUUUUUGUGCUGUAUGGUGAUGCGUUAUUGUAUAUUCCACAAUAAGAAAAAAAAUAUAUAAAAAAAUGAUGAUAAUAAUAAUAAUUACCAUGAGAAAUUCUUAUGAGUUUUGUUUGGAAACUCUUUCACUAUAUUUGUUGUAAAGAGGUUUACUAUUAAAAAGAAAAAAAAUACACGUUUCUGAUAAUUU